rnacentral:rRNA from 1 species
GAUGAACGCUGGCGGCGUGCCUAAUACAUGCAAGUCGAGCGAACAGACGAGGAGCUUGCUCCUCUGACGUUAGCGGCGGACGGGUGAGUAACACGUGGAUAACCUACCUAUAAGACUGGGAUAACUUCGGGAAACCGGAGCUAAUACCGGAUAAUAUAUUGAACCGCAUGGUUCAAUAGUGAAAGACGGUUUUGCUGUCACUUAUAGAUGGAUCCGCGCCGCAUUAGCUAGUUGGUAAGGUAACGGCUUACCAAGGCAACGAUGCGUAGCCGACCUGAGAGGGUGACCGGCCACACUGGAACUGAAACACGGUCCAGACUCCUACGGGAGGCAGCAGUAGGGAAUCUUCCGCAAUGGGCGAAAGCCUGACGGAGCAACGCCGCGUGAGUGAUGAAGGUCUUCGGAUCGUAAAACUCUGUUAUUAGGGAAGAACAAAUGUGUAAGUAACUAUGCACGUCUUGACGGUACCUAAUCAGAAAGCCACGGCUAACUACGUG